GCCCGGAUGGUGGAAUUGGUAGACACAGGAGACUUAAAAUCUCCAGGCCGAAAGGCCGUGCCGGUUCGAUCCCGGCUCCGGGCACCA
rnacentral:tRNA from 1 species